UCUCAACCAGGCUGGAGUGCAGUGGCAUGAUCUCGGCUCACUGCAACCUCCGCCUCCCAGGUUCAAGUGAUUCUCCUGCCUCAGCCUCCUGAGUAGCUGGUAUUACAGGUAUUUCAGGACAGCCAGGAGGGGGCGCACAUCCGCCGAGAGACUGUGGGCAAGAGCGUCUGUGCUGAACCACGGAGCCACCAGAGGGCGCGCGAUCCCGCCCCAACCAACUUCCCGCGGAGGUGCCAGAAGCAGCGAGGAGCUUCAACUUCCCCAGUGCAGCACGAGGGUCGUGUUACCUUGGUGUUCUUCAUUGGUGGGACCAUCCAGUUUCAGGAAAACAAGCUGAACACGCCCACUGAUUCUACAUUAUGCUCCUACCUCCCGGCAGCCUCGCCAGGCCCAGAACUCUCUCCAGUCAGCCUCUACAGACCAAGCUCAUGACUCACAAUGGCCUAUUGAGGCCCAUACCCUACCUCACGGCAGUCUCCGCAGAUGAGCCUACUGCCUCACAACAGCCUCCACAGGCACAGCUCCAUCGUUACAAUGGCCUCUUUAGACCCAGCUCCUGCCGCCCAGCCUUCUCUCCAGGCCCUGAACUUUCUCCGUAAGUUGAGGUAGCUGGGACUGU